CCUACGGGUGGCACCAGUGGGGAAUAUUGCACAAUGGGCGCAAGCCUGAUGCAGCCAUGCCGCGUGUAUGAAGAAGGCCUUCGGGUUGUAAAGUACUUUCAGCGGGGAGGAAGGGAGUAAAGUUAAUACCUUUGCUCAUUGACGUUACCCGCAGAAGAAGCACCGGCUAACUCCGUGCCAGCAGCCGCGGUAAUACGGAGGGUGCAAGCGUUAAUCGGAAUUACUGGGCGUAAAGCGCACGCAGGCGGUUUGUUAAGUCAGAUGUGAAAUCCCCGGGCUCAACCUGGGAACUGCAUCUGAUACUGGCAAGCUUGAGUCUCGUAGAGGGGGGUAGAAUUCCAGGUGUAGCGGUGAAAUGCGUAGAGAUCUGGAGGAAUACCGGUGGCGAAGGCGGCCCCCUGGACGAAGACUGACGCUCAGGUGCGAAAGCGUGGGGAGCAAACAGGAUUAGAUACCCUAGUAGUC
rnacentral:rRNA from 1 species